rnacentral:rRNA from 1 species
AGCGAACGCUGGCGGCAGGCUUAACACAUGCAAGUCGAGCGGGCCCUUCGGGCUCAGCUGCAGACGGGUGAGUAACACGUGGUAACGUACCCUUUGGUUCGGAAUAACGCUGGGUAACUAGCGCUAAUACCGGUUACGCUCUUUUGGGGUAAGGCUUGCUGCCGAAGGAUCGGCCCGCGUCUGAUUAGCUAGUUGGUGGGGGAAUGGCCUACCAAGGAGACGAUCAGUAGCUGGUCUGAGAGGAUGAUCAGCCACACUGGGACUGAGACACGGACUAGACUCCUACGGGAAGGAGCAGAGGGGAAUAUUGGACAAGGGGCGCAAGCCUGAUCAAGCCACGCCGCGUGAGUGAUGAAGGCCUUAGGGUUGUAAAGCUCUUUUGUACGGGACGAUAAUGACGGUAACGGAAGAAUAAGCACCGGCUAACUUCGUG